rnacentral:lncRNA from 1 species
UAAAAAUUGCAACCUUCCUGUAGAAAAGCCUAAAUUUACCCGCCAUCUCACCUGUAAAUAUUAGUAUCAGGUUCACUUGAGUAUUUCAUAUUUAUUUUUGUUCUCUUCCCACUCUCCUCUGGAAUCUUUUAAUCCUAUUCCCCAUCCCUAUAAAGAGUAGCGUGCCAGCGGUUGUAUACGCGCCGGCAAAAACCUCUGUGUUUCUAAUAAAGAG